AUUGAACGCUGGCGGCAUGCUUUACACAUGCAAGUCGAACGGUAACAGGGUGCUUGCACUGCUGACGAGUGGCGAACGGGUGAGUAAUGCGUCGGAACGUGCCGAGUAGUGGGGGAUAACGCAGCGAAAGUUGUGCUAAUACCGCAUACGUACUGAGGUAGAAAGUGGGGGACCUUCGGGCCUCACGCUAUUCGAGCGGCCGACGUCUGAUUAGCUAGUAGGUGAGGUAAAGGCUCACCUAGGCGACGAUCAGUAGCGGGUCUGAGAGGAUGAUCCGCCACACUGGGACUGAGACACGGCCCAGACUCCUACGGGAGGCAGCAGUGGGGAAUUUUGGACAAUGGGCGAAAGCCUGAUCCAGCCAUGCCGCGUGUCUGAAGAAGGCCUUCGGGUUGUAAAGGACUUUUGUCAGGGAGGAAAUCCCUAGUGCUAAUAACACUGGGGGAUGACAGUACCUGAAGAAUAAGCACCGGCUAACUACGUGCCAGCCGCCGCAGUAAUAC
rnacentral:rRNA from 1 species